rnacentral:rRNA from 1 species
UACGUAGGGGGCAAGCGUUUGUCCGGAAUCAUUGGGCGUAAAGCGCGCGUAGGCGGCCCGGUAAGUCCGCUGUAAAAGUCCAGGGCUCAACCCUGGAAAGCCGGUGGAUACUGUCGGGCUAGAGUCCGGAAGAGGCGAGUGGAAUUCCUGGUGUAGCGGUGGAAUGCGCAGAUAUCGAGAGGAACACCAGUGGCGAAGGCGAGUCCCUGGACAACACCUGACACUGAGGCACGAAAGCCAGGGGAGCAAACGGG